GAGGGUAUAGUUCAAGCGGUAGAGCGCAUGCUUAGCAUGCACGAGGUCCGGGGUUCAAUCCCCAGUACCGCCU
rnacentral:tRNA from 1 species